rnacentral:rRNA from 1 species
AUUGAACGCUGGCGGCAGGCCUAACACAUGCAAGUCGAACGAGUGGCGGACGGGUGAGUAAUGUCUGGGAAACUGCCCGAUGGAGGGGGAUAAAUACUGGAAACGGUAGCUAAUACCGCAUACCAUCGGAUGUGCCCAGAUGGGAUUAGCUUGUAGGUGGGGUAACGGCGCACCUAGGCGAAGCUCCCUAGAUGGUAUGAGAGGAUGACCAGCCACACUGGAACGGAGACACGGUCCAGACGCCUACGGGAGGCAGCAGUGGGGAAUAUUGCACAAGGGGCGCAAGCCUGAUGCAGCCAUGCCGCGUGUAUGAAGAAGGCCUUCGGGUUGUAAAGUACUUUCAGCGAGGAGGCGUUACUCGCAGAAGAAGCACCGGCUAACUCCGUGCCAGCAGCCGCGGUAAUAC